GUGGGGAAUUUUGGACAAUGGGCGCAAGCCUGAUCCAGCAAUGCCGCGUGCAGGAAGAAGGCCUUCGGGUUGUAAACUGCUUUUGUACGGAACGAAACGGUCCGGGUUAAUACCCUGGGCUAAUGACGGUACCGUAAGAAUAAGCACCGGCUAACUACGUGCCAGCAGCCGCGGUAAUACGUAGGGUGCAAGCGUUAAUCGGAAUUACUGGGCUUAAAGCGUGCGCAGGCGGUUUUGUAAGACAGGAGUGAAAUCCCCGGGCUCAACCUGGGAAUUGCGCUUGUGACUGCAAGGCUGGAGUGCGGCAGAGGGGGAUGGAAUUCCGCGUGUAGCAGUGAAAUGCGUAGAUAUGCGGAGGAACACCGAUGGCGAAGGCAAUCCCCUGGGCCUGCACUGACGCUCAUGCACGAAAGCGUGGGGAGCAAACAGGAUUAGAUACCCUUGUAGUCC
rnacentral:rRNA from 1 species